AGUCGAGGGGCAGCGCGGGGUAGCAAUACUCUGGCGGCGACCGGCGGAAGGGUGCGUAACACGUGAGCGACUUGCCCGAUACAGGGAGAUAACCGGUGGAAACGCCGACUAAUAUCCCAUAGGACUUGAGGCUGCAUGGCCUUGAGUUGAAAGGUUCGCCGGUAUCGGAUAGGCUCGCGGGACAUUAGCUUGAUGGCGGGGCAACGGCCCACCAUGGCGACGAUGUCUAGGGGUUCUGAGAGGAAGACCCCCCACACUGGGACUGAGACACGGCCCAGACUCCUACGGGAGGCAGCAGUGAGGAAUAUUGGUCAAUGGGCGGAAGCCUGAACCAGCCAUGCCGCGUGAAGGACUAAGGCCCUAUGGGUCGUAAACUUCUUUAGACGCAGAGCAAUAAGGGCCUCGCGAGGUCCGAUGAGAGUAUGCGUAGAAUAAGCAUCGGCUAACUCCGUGCCAGCAGCCGCGGUAAUACGGGGGAUGCGAGCGUUAUCCGGAUUUAUUGGGUUUAAAGGGUGCGUAGGCGGCGAAUUAAGUCAGCGGUGAAAGACCGGGGCUCAACCCUGGAAGUGCCGUUGAUACUGAUUGGCUA
rnacentral:rRNA from 1 species